GGACCCGCACAAGUAGUGGAGCAUGUGGUUUAAUUCGAAGAUACGCGCAGAACCUUACCAACACUUGACAUGUUCGUCGCGACUCUAAGAGAUUAGAGUUUUCGGUUCGGCCGGACGAAACACAGGUGCUGCAUGGCUGUCGUCAGCUCGUGUCGUGAGAUGUUGGGUUAAGUCCCGCAACGAGCGCAACCCUCACUUUUAGUUGCCAUCAUUUAGUUGGGCACUCUGAAAGAACUGCCAGUGAUAAGCUGGAGGAAGGUGGGGAUGACGUCAAGUCCUCAUGGCCCUUAUGUGUUGGGCUACACACGUGCUACAAUGGGCUAGGACAGACGGCCGCAAACCCCGCGAGGGG
rnacentral:rRNA from 1 species